rnacentral:rRNA from 1 species
AUUGAACGCUGGCGGAAUGCUUUACACAUGCAAGUCGAACGGCAGCACGGGGGCAGCCCUGGUGGCGAGUGGCGAACGGGUGAGUAAUACAUCGGAACGUGCCCGGUCGUGGGGGAUAACGUAGCGAAAGUUACGCUAAUACCGCAUACGAUCUGAGGAUGAAAGCGGGGGACCUUCGGGCCUCGCGCGAUCGGAGCGGCCGAUGUCAGAUUAGGUAGUUGGUGGGGUAAAGGCCUACCAAGCCGACGAUCUGUAGCUGGUCUGAGAGGACGACCAGCCACACUGGGACUGAGACACGGCCCAGACUCCUACGGGAGGCAGCAGUGGGGAAUUUUGGACAAUGGGCGCAAGCCUGAUCCAGCCAUUCCGCGUGCAGGACGAAGGCCUUCGGGUUGUAAACUGCUUUUGUACGGAACGAAAAGGCUCUGGCUAAUACCUGGGGCUCAUGACGGUACCGUAAGAAUAAGCACCGGCUAACUACAUG